rnacentral:sRNA from 1 species
UACAACAAGAACUCAAUGGCAUCUGAAUCAGUGACACCAGCUCUUGAAGGAUUUCCAAAUGUCCAGGAGUUUGACCUGCUUAUAGAGAGGUAAUAGCCAUAAUAUCAAUUCACCUCUGAGAAAGCUGACAGGUUUAUUAGCUGUAUUCAAAAAUCACUCAUCAGGCCUUUAAUACCUUCAAGAGAAGCCAGACUGAUCAGAAUGGUGCUCCUCAACCCUGGAUACAUCAUAAAAUCUGCAGAAUUUCACUGUUGGGUGGAAAAAUUGUUCACACUAAAACCAAACAAUAACCAGCCACACAAGUUGAUCUGUAGCAAAGGGAAACCCAUUGUAAUUUGAGAGAAGGUCUUUAA